CUAAUCUAGUUUAUCCUGCCCACUGAUUUUUAAGGGCCGCGGUAUACUAACCGUGCUAAGGUAGCAUAAUCAAUAGUCUUUUAAUUAAAGACUUGAAUGAAUGGUUGGACGAGAAAUUAACUGUCUUAUAUGUAAAAAUUGAAUUUUACUUUUAAGUGAAAAGGCUUAAAUAGAGUUAGGGGACGAUAAGACCCUAUGAAGCUUUAUGUUUAUUAAUUAAGAAUUGAUAAUUUUGGGUUGAUAUAAUUCAUAAUUAUCUACAUUUAGCUGGGGCGGCUGUAAUAUAAAUAUUUUAUAUAACUGUUAAAAAUAAAAAAUAGAUUUAUUUAGUUUAUAUGAUCCUUUAAUAAGGAUUAAAAGAUUAAAGUUACUCUAGGGAUAACAGCGUAAUUUUUCUUGAGAGUCCAUAUCGACAGAAAUAGUUGCGACCUCGAUGUUGAAUUAAAAUUUCUUCAGGGGUGUAGAAGUUCUGAUAGUAGGUCUGUUCGACCUUUAAAAUUUUACGUGAUUGAAUUUUCAAAACCGGGAUACGGUCUACGUGAUCUGAGUUCAGACGCGGGGACUUUUAAUUUUUUUGGGGGGAAUAAAGCGAGGGGGGGGGGU
rnacentral:rRNA from 1 species